rnacentral:rRNA from 1 species
GCCGACUGUGAACUGCGGAAAACAUUAACGAGUUGGAUGUGGAGGUUGAUGCUGGUGCAUAUAUUUUUUAUUGUAUGUACAUGUGCUUGCCUUCACACUCUUCAUUCACUCAACCCCUGUGCACUUUAUCAGAAUUAGUAAUAGUAGUGUGGUGGCCAUUUGUUAUUUAUUCAUUGUUAGAAAAGUGGGUCACCAUUUUCUGGCAAGUAGUGAUAAUAAACUUGGUCUCAUUACAACUAUGAACACUUUGACUUAUAUAUAUACAAACACUUUGCUUGUUCUUGUGAAUGUACAAUGUUCCUUGUGAGCAGAAAUACAAAUAUAUACAACUUUCAACAACGGAUCUCUUGGCUCUCGCAUCGAUGAAGAACGCAGCGAAAUGCGAUAAGUAAUGUGAAUUGCAGAAUUCAGUGAAUCAUCGAAUCUUUGAACGCACCUUGCGCCCCUUGGUAUUCCGAGGGGCAUGCCUGUUUGAGUGUCAUGUAAUUCUCAAUCUUCUUCCUUCUUAAUUGAAGGGAAGGGGUUUGGACUUGGAGGUAUAUAUUUGCUGGUACUAUUCUGUAUUGGCUCCUCUCAAAUGCAUUAGCUGGACUGUAGUUCGCAUUGUUUGGUGUAAUAGUUUUCUAUCUAUAUUCACUGCAGUGCUUACUUAGACUGUCUGCUUCAAAUAGGUCUGCCUUAUGUGUCAGACAGGUAACUCUGUUACCUUGAACUAUUUUGACCCCUUUGACCUCAAAUCAGGUAGGACUACCCGCUGAACUUAAGCAUACAAAAAAGGAAAAAGAAAAA